UUGAUAACGAAAAAAAUAAAAAUUAUUGAAAAUUGAGAAGAUCCCAACUCGUCCAACACACCUUGUACUCCCUCUGUCCCAUUUUAAAUAACUUAUUUGACCAUUUCACACACUUUAAGAAAAAUGCAUAAAUAAAAGAGAGAGUUGUACAAUUACUAAACUGCACUUACCUUUUCAUUACUAGUAGUAAUGAUUAAAUUGGUUGAG
rnacentral:lncRNA from 1 species